AGUGAACGCUGGCGGUAGGCCUAACACAUGCAAGUCGAACGGCAGCACAGGAGAGCUUGCUCUCUGGGUGGCGAGUGGCGGACGGGUGAGGAAUACAUCGGAAUCUACUCUGUCGUGGGGGAUAACGUAGGGAAACUUACGCUAAUACCGCAUACGACCUACGGGUGAAAGCAGGGGACCUUCGGGCCUUGCGCGAUUGAAUGAGCCGAUGUCGGAUUAGCUAGUUGGCGGGGUAAAGGCCCACCAAGGCGACGAUCCGUAGCUGGUCUGAGAGGAUGAUCAGCCACACUGGAACUGAGACACGGUCCAGACUCCUACGGGAGGCAGCAGUGGGGAGUAUUGGACAAUGGGCGCAAGCCUGAUCCAGCCAUACCGCGUGGGUGAAGAAGGCCUUCGGGUUGUAAAGCCCUUUUGUUGGGAAAGAAAUCCAGCUGGCUAAUACCCGGUUGGGAUGACGGUACCCAAAGAAUAAGCACCGGCUAACUUCGUGCCAGCCGCCGCCGGUAA
rnacentral:rRNA from 1 species